GUAGGUGAACCUGCGGAAGGAUCAUUAAAGGUUUUCGUCGGCCCUCUGCAAAGAGGAGUUCGGCGGCCAAGAUCAACCACUGUGCGCAUAUAUUGAAAUCAUUAUUGCUUUUGGUAGGUUCCCUUCAAAUUUUUUUUUUUUUUUUUUGGAGGAGCGCCUGCCAAGAGUAUAUAUAUCAAAAUCUCCCUUAUUUUUUGACUGAAAA
rnacentral:misc_RNA from 1 species